AGGAUUAUUCUUGCAUUUCUACUUACUUUCUACAACUAAGUGCUUAGUGUGUUUUCAAAGAAGAACACACAUAAUAAGAGAGUAAUGGGAACAAUAAGGCUACUUCUUAUUGCUUUGCAAUGGAGUUGCUUACUUCUUAUUCUCUUAGGAAUUGAAGAGCAAGAGCUUAAUGAUUUUGCAGCAUUAAUGUAGAAUUAUUCAUACUCUAGUCUUAUUUGAAUUGCUAUUGAAGGUACAAAUUAGUCUACGUUCUUUCUUUCAUUGUCCCAUAUUACUGCCACAAAUAAAAUGCCUUCCUUUUUUUUAACUCUUUCUUAUGUGGUUGUUGCUAUUAGAGCGACAUUCAAGCAUUGAAGUGUGGUGAUCUUAUUUAUCAAAAUUCUUUUUUUGUGUAAAG
rnacentral:lncRNA from 1 species